GGCAGUAUAGAACAGUGGUAAGGUGCAAGGCUCCUAACCAAAAGGUUGCUGGUUCGAUUCCCAGCUGGGGCAC